rnacentral:lncRNA from 1 species
GUCUCUCACUCACUCUCUCUCUCUUUCUUUCUCUUAUUCUCUCUCUUCCUACCUCCUCUUUCUCUGUGUAUAUCUUUCUGUUCCCAAUCUUUCUCACUCUCUCCUCUCUCUCUCCCUUUCUUUCUCUCCUCUCUCUUCCUACCUCCUCUUUCUCUAUGUAUAUCUUUCUGUUCCCUAUCUCUUUCUCUCUCUCUCUCUUUCCCUCUCUCUCCCCUUCUUUCUUUCUCUCCUCUCUCUACCUCCUCUUUCUCUGAAUAUCUUUCUGUUCCCAAUCUUUCUCACUCUCUCCUCUCUCUUUCUCUCUUUCUCUCCCUUUCUUUCUCUCAUUCUCUCUCUUCCUACCUCCUCUUUCUCUGUGUAUAUCUUUCUGUUCCCCAUCUCUUUCUCUCUCUCUCUCUUUCCCUCUCUCUCCCCUUCUUUCUUUCUCUCCUCUCUCUUUCUACCUCCUCUUUCUCUGAAUGUCUUUCUGUUCCCAAUCUUUCUCACUCUCUCCUUCUCUCUCUUUCUCUCUCUCCCUUUCUUUCUCUCAUUCUCUCUCUUCCUACCUCCUUUCUCUGUGUAUAUCUUUCUGUUCUCAAUCUUUCUCACUCUCUCCUUCUCUCUCUUUCUCUUUCUCUCUUUCUCUCCUCCCUUUUCCUACUUCCUCUUUCUCUUUAUAUAUGUUUCUGUUCCCCAUCUCUCUCUCUUUCCCUCCCUCUCACUUUCUUUCUUUCUCUCCUCUCUCUUCCUACCUCCUCUUUCUCUGCAUAUAUCUUUCUGUUCCCCAUCUCUCUCUCUCUCUCUCUCUCUCUCUCUCUCUCUCUCUCUCUCUCUCUCUCUCUCUCUCCCUGCUCACAUGCACGCGUGCACACACACACACACACACACACACAGAGUCUGACACAGGCACAGAUACAAGUCAGGAAACUCAAAGAUAAAACCAAAAACAUGUCCUUGACUCAAACAAUUCAGAAACAAAAAACAUGCCAAAAAAAAACAUUCAGCAGUGACAUAGAUUAUGCAGGAAAUAAUCGGUCUAAACUUGAGCUCCACAGCCUUUGUUGA